rnacentral:rRNA from 1 species
GUGCAGCAGGCGCGAAACCUCCGCAAUACACGAAAGUGUGACGGGGCCAUCCCGAGUGCCGUCCGCUGAGGACGGCUUUUCCCCAGUGUACAUAGCUGGGGGAAUAAGGAGAGGGCAAGCCUGGUGUCAGCCGCCGCGGUAAUACCAGCUCUCCGAGUGGUGGGGACGCUUAUUGGGCCUAAAGCAUCCGUAGCCGGCUGGGCAAGUCCUCCGUUAAAUCCAACGAUUCAAUCGUUGGGCUGCGGGGGAUACUGUCCAGCUUGGGGGCGGGAGAGGCCGACGGUAUUCCCGGGGUAGGGGUGAAAUCC